UAAAUAUGAGAUAUUUUGUCACUUCGAACAUGCACGAUAGGCGGAAGGAUCCCCCGUGCAUCCAGCGCUGCAAUAAAGAAUAUACCACUUAAGGAAAUUUCGGCUUUGAUCUUUAAAUCAAUUUGGCGACCCAGAUGGGACAACCUCUCUGCCGGUCCGCAGGACCCGCUGGGGACAGGACUCCCUAGGGUACCCCCGGGAUUUCCCGGAGGGACUCCUCGACUCACCGGAUCACUGCGGAGGCAGACAAGGACCCCAUCAUUGUAAGACAACCCCUAGAGGAGAAAUGGAAUGGACUGUAUCAAGUGUUGCUGACAACUCACACUGCUAUCAAGAUUAGAGAACAAACCGCUUGAAUCCACUAUUCCCGAGUGAAGAAGGCUCCAGGAGCUCCUUGAAAAGUAACACUAGGUGACAAUGAACUGAAACUAAAGCUUAGUCGAUCAAGAUGAGGACAUUAUGGUCGGGAGUAUUUGGUAAUAUAGUUGGUAGAAAAUUUGUUCAUAGAAUUGUUUUGUUUUUAUGGCUUAUAGUUGUAAUUGUGAUUCAAGAAGGUGCCUCUGUGAUAAUAGAGAAUGGUGGGUGGCCUUGAACUAAAGCCGUAACAACAGAGGAUAAGAACUUUAAUGGAAAGUUAUCAGUUAUGGUCAUCUGGCGAACAAAUGGUAACUAUUUAUAAAAACCAUCAGAAUGGUGAAAAUUAGGAGAAGAGUGGACACAAGAUAAUGUAUCCUGAGCUCUUAGUUGUAUGCAAGCACAGUUAUGGUUGCAGGCAACGGCUGCCUUGAUCAUUAGGGAAGGAAGUAAAGGCAUUUUUCCGGCUGAAGUCCAAAAGGCAGUCUGGGACAAUGCCAAUGAUUUCGAGAAGUUCCAGUCCUCGUGGACCCUGGUAAAUUGUACUUAUGCCCAUUAUUAACAUGGCUACUGCCUUCGUGCUUACUAUACGGAUGGAGAAUGGGAAACGGCAGUCUGUAAAUCUAGAAUCAUGUGUUACCGGGGAACAACGAGGAUUUAUUUGUGAAAGCAAUACAAUUGAGGCUCAGGAUGUAUGUUUUGACACGGAGCAAGGUAUCUGCCACUUUGAAAUUCAUCCAAAUACCAGUCAAAAGACUGUGCUUGUAUAUGUUGGUAAAGGGUGUGUGUGUUUAAGAACUGCUUGUGAUUUUGUAGAAAUAGACAAGGAGAAUAUAACUCUCCAUAGCAAAAAUCAUUCUAAUUUUUGUAUUUGUAACUUUGUUAGAAUCAUCGGGUGUGAUUUUCUAUAUUUAGCACCAGUGGUAUCCCACCAGCUGAUCAAGUCUAACAACACAAUGUAUCAUAAGUUACUACCUACACCUAUUGGGAUGAACCUCACACUAGUGAAGCAACUAGUUAAACACCAAGACCUGAUUAGAAUUUUAAAAGGUAUUCAGGAAAAUGGAGAGAAGACUCUAAUUACUGUCCAUCAUGAUACAAAGGAAAUAAGCAGAGUUUUGCAGAGAGUGAAACGAGACACAAGUCACAACUGGUGGGAUACACUUUUUGGAUGGUCGCCAACUGCAACUGGGAUUUUGAACACACUGAGUCACCCAAUUAUUGUUUUAUUGAUA